GAUGAACGCUGGCGGCGUGCCUAAUACAUGCGAGUCGAGCGAACAGACGAGGAGCUUGCUCCUCUGACGUUAGCGGCGGACGGGUGAGUAACACGUGGAUAACCUACCUAUAAGACUGGGAUAACUUCGGGAAACCGGAGCUAAUACCGGAUAAUAUAUUGAACCGCAUGGUUCAAUAGUGAAAGACGGUUUUGCUGCCACUUAUAGAUGGAUCCGCGCCGCAUUAGCUAGUUGGUAAGGUAACGGCUUACCAAGGCAACGAUGCGUAGCCGACCUGAGAGAGUGAUCGGCCACACUGGAACUGAGACACGGUCCAGACUCCUACGGGAGGCAGCAGUAGGGAAUCUUCCGCAAUGGGCGAAAGCCUAACGGAGCAACGCCGCGUGAGUGAUGAAGGUCUUCGGAUCGUAAAACUCUGUUAUUAGGGAAGAACAAAUGUGUAAGUAACUAUGCACGUCUUGACGGUACCUAAUCAGAAAGCCACGGCUAACUACGUG
rnacentral:rRNA from 1 species